rnacentral:tRNA from 1 species
UCCCAUAUGGCCUAGGAUAUGUGGCUUUCACCCAGAAUAUCCGAGUUCGAUUCCCGGUAUGGGAU